rnacentral:rRNA from 1 species
CACGGGGGGAGCAAGCGUUGUUCGGAAUCACUGGGCGUAAAGGGCGUGUAGGCGGUCAAGUAAGUGGAAUGUGAAAGCCCCCGGCUUACCCGGGGAUCUGCAUCCCAAACUGCUUGGCUUGAGUACGGGAGAGGAUAGGGGAAUUCCUGGUGUAGCGGUGAAAUGCGUAGAUAUCGGGAGGAACACCGGUGGCGAAGGCGGUUCUCUGGGCCUUACCUGACGCUGAGGAGCGAAAGCGUGGGGAGCGAACAGG